rnacentral:rRNA from 1 species
GCACCACCAGGAGUGGAGCCUGCGGCUUAAUUUGACUCAACACGGGAAAACUUACCUGGUCCUGACACUAGAAGGAUUGACAGAUUGAUAGCUCUUUCUUGAUUUGGUGGAUGGUGGUGCAUGGCCGUUCUUAGUUGGUGGAGUGAUUUGUCUGGUUAAUUCCGAUAACGAACGAGACUCUAGCCUAUUAAAUAACACACAGAAUCAUGUCUUCUGCGGUGUUUCUUAAUGGGAUCAAGUGUGUUUAACACUUUGAAACAGAGCAAUAACAGGUCUGUGAUGCCCUUAGAUGUUCGGGGCCGCACGCGCGCUACAUUGAAAGACAAAAUGAGCGUUUCUGGUUUUUAACAAAACUAGUAAUCUUUGAAUGUUUUUCUUAAUGGGGAUAGGGGAUUGCAAUUGUGCCCCUUGAACGAGGAAUUCCCAGUAAGUGCUAGUCAUUAGCUAGUACUGAUUACGUCCCUGCCCUUUGUA